rnacentral:misc_RNA from 1 species
UUUCCGUAGGUGAACCUGCGGAAGGAUCAUUAUUGAAUGAAACACUUCUGGCUUUAUGCUGUUGUGCUGGCCCUUUGGGCAAUAUGCACACGGCUCUGGUCACUUGUUUCUUCUGUUCCACCUGUGCACUGCCUGUAGACACGCUGUGUCUAUGAUAUUUGUUAACACACAACAAUGUUAGUUGGCAUGUUAUAUAUAAUAAUAAAAUAUACAACUUUCAACAACGGAUCUCUUGGCUCUC